ACGAACGCUGGCGGCGUGCUUAACACAUGCAAGUCGAGCGAGGCCCCUCCUUCGGGAGGGUGACCUAGCGGCGAACGGGUGAGUAACACGUGGGCAAUCUGCCCCUAGCUCUGGGGAUAACCCCGGGAAACCGGGGCUAAUACUGGAUAUGACUUCGGAGGGCAUCCUCCGCGGUGGAAAAGGUUUACUGGCUAGGGAUGAGCCCGCGGCCUAUCAGCUUGUUGGUGGGGUAAAGCCUACCAAGGCGACGACGGGUAGCCGGCCUGAGAGGGCGACCGGCCACACUGGGACUGAGACACGGCCCAGACUCCUACGGGAGGCAGCAGUGGGGAAUAUUGCACAAUGGGCGAAAGCCUGAUGCAGCGACGCCGCGUGA
rnacentral:rRNA from 1 species